CUGACGUAUGACAAAACCCUUAAAUUGCAGCUAAUCCCAAGAAUUCGCAGAACAGAGAGGAAGACGAAGUGAGAUCGCGCGACGAGGAGACCAUGUUUGGCCGGAGCCGGUUCCUGUCGUUCCCGACGGUGAUCGGAGCCGUCGUGAUAGGAGUUGUCUCUGGCAAAGCAAUAUUUGGACCUCCUCUUGAUGAGUACUGGAAAAAGAAGCUCGAGGAAGAGGCAGCUGCGAAGGGAACUGAUGGCAGCUCAUCUUAGCUUGCACCAUGUCAUAGCUUCCAGAGAAGCUGAGCUACUAGGGUUUGAACCAGCUUUUCGGGUUCUGGCUGACCUUUCACUUGGCUGGAGUAUCGGAUGACUCUUCAGCAAGGCACAGAAAAUGACCUGAAGCUAAGAACGAGUAGAGGAUGCGUGCCUCCAUUUAAUCUUAACCCAUGGCAAGUGUUCUGAAGAUUUUUUUCUUUCUUGAGGACAGCAAUUAUCGGUGCUAUUUUGCGUCGAUGCACUUCCUAAGCCGCAUUGGGAGGGACUUACUGGAAACUGAUGGUGUGGAAGUGUAAAGUUUCUUUGUUGAUUGGUCUUAAUUAAAUUGACAAAAGUCGUGUAACGAGAAGUACCUUUCAACA